rnacentral:rRNA from 1 species
GUGCCAGCAGCCGCGGUAAGACAGAGGGGGCAAGCGUUGCUCGGAAUCACUGGGCGUAAAGGGCGCGUAGGCGGGACGGCAAGUCAGUCGUGAAAUCCUCCGGCUCAACCGGAGAACGUCGGCUGAUACUGCUGUUCUUGAGGGGUGCAGAGGAGACUGGAAUUCCCGGUGUAGCGGUGAAAUGUGUAGAGAUCGGGAGGAACACCGGUGGCGAAGGCGGGUCUCUGGGCAUCUCCUGACGCUGAGGCGCGAAAGCGUGGGGAGCAAACGGGAUUAGAUACCCCGGUAGUCCACGCUGUAAACGAUGAGGACUAGGUGUGGGAAGGUUAGUCCUUUCCGUGCCGCAGCUAACGCAUUAAGUCCUCCGCCUGGGGAGUACGGCCGCAAGGUUGAA